rnacentral:misc_RNA from 1 species
GAAAUGCGAUAAGUAAUGUGAAUUGCAGAAUUCAGUGAAUCAUCGAAUCUUUGAACGCACAUUGCGCCCCUUGGUAUUCCGAGGGGCAUGCCUGUUCGAGCGUCAUUACAACCCUCAAGCUCUGCUUGGUAUUGGGCUCCGUCCUCACUGCGGACGCGCCUCGAAGACCUCGGCGGUGGCUGUUCGGCCCUCAAGCGUAGUAGAAUACACCUCGCUUUGGAGCGGUCGGCGUCGCCUGCCGGACGAACCUUCUGAACUUUUCUCAAGGUUGACCUCGGAUCAGGUAGGGAUACCCGCUGAACUUAAGC